rnacentral:lncRNA from 1 species
UUCAAUAUCAGUAAAAUGAACCUAAACAGUGAAUCAGUUAAGACAUAUAAUAGUUAAUGUAUGAGACGAAGUGAAUUGAAUUUCAUGGACAGAAUUUAACUUAACUGAACUAAAAGGACUGAACUCAACACUUAAAUAAAAUAAAGUAAUACAUACUCAUCGGUUCCGAAGUGUGAGAUCGGUCAUUUGUUUACCACUCGGGGUGAAACAAUUAUAUAAGGACCAAGAUAUAAGGAUCAAGAUAUAAGGGCCAAUUGUGACCAUUGACUUACCACCCUGGUGAAAUCAAUAUAGGAUCCUUUGUCUACCACUCGGGGUAGAACAACAAAUGGGCUGCCA